UCACCGCUUGCGCGGGCAGUCUCCUGCGAGUCCCCGCCAUUACGCGCUGGCAACACAGGACAAGGGUUGCGCUCGUUGCGGGACUUAACCCAACAUCUCACGACACGAGCUGACGACAGCCAUGCAGCACCUGUGUACGCUGGUAUUGCUACCUCGUCAGACUUUCAUCCUUCUACUACUUGCAUGUCAAGGCCAGGUAAGGUUCUUCGCGUUGCAUCGAAUUAAGCCACAUACUCCACCGCUUGUGCAGGCCCCCGUCAAUUUCUUUGAGUUUUAAUCUUGCGACCGUACUUCCCAGGCGGCUUAUUUAUCGCGUUGGCUACGCCUCAAAAGGGGUCGAUUCCUUUUACAGCAAAUAAGCACCGUUUACGGCUAGGACUAC
rnacentral:misc_RNA from 1 species